AAAUAGGUAAUUAAUAAAGGAGUAAAGGUAGCGUAUUAAACGGUUCAUUUAAUGAUCACAAUCGGUGAGUUAGGUACCUACAUAUUUUUAGCAUAUCACAUCAAUAACUAUACGCAGCUGUACCCGGAAAAGAUUAGAAAUAUUUCAAAAUCAUGAAGGUAAAGGUAUCGUAAGUGUACUUGACCUAGGUAAGUAGAUAUAAAAUUGUAAAAUUUGAUGAUAGGUUAACAUUUACGGUUUCAUCUCCUUUUUGAGUACCUACCUAUCGUAUCGUGAUUAAUCGAACAAUUAUUGACCAGUAAAAAAUAAAUUUGUGCGAGAAAAUUGAAUACUCAACCUGAGAAGUUGAAUACUGUAUUUGAUCUUGCUGCCAAAUCUGCAAAUUACUCGAACGUUGUAUUCCAUUUCUGAUCUCGGGAGUUUUUAAACAUGAACUUCAACCUGUUAAUAUUCGCCAUCGGAGUCGUUUUACUGUUUACGUUUUCUCAGGCAACUCCUGACACAAAUCAGAAAAUGCCUUAUAAGGUGUUUACCAGAAAAAUCGAUUGUUUGAGAUCUUGCGUUGAUUAUUGCGAACUCCACGGAAUUCGUACAUAUCAUUGCCCUCUCACUGAAUUUAGAGGAUAUAGGUGUAAUUGCAAUAGUCCAAUGACGCAAGAUUUUAUUGAAUGAAGGCACUUAUCUCGUCCAAGUGUUCAAUAUUAGUCUUUUGUAGCAGCAAUAUUUUGACAAAUAAAUUACAAUUUUUUCAUUCUGCCUA